rnacentral:rRNA from 1 species
AGUGAACGCUGGCGGUAGGCCUAACACAUGCAAGUCGAACGGCAGCACAGAGGAGCUUGCUCCUUGGGUGGCGAGUGGCGGACGGGUGAGGAAUACAUCGGAAUCUACUCUGUCGUGGGGGAUAACGUAGGGAAACUUACGCUAAUACCGCAUACGACCUACGGGUGAAAGCAGGGGACCUUCGGGUCUUGCGCGAUUGAAUGAGCCGAUGUCGGAUUAGCUAGUUGGCGGGGUAAAGGCCCACCAAGGCGACGAUCCGUAACUGGUCUGAGAGGAUAAUCAGCCACACUGAAACUGAGACACGGUCCAGGCUCCUACGGGAGGCAGCAGUGGGGAAUAUUGGACAAUGGGCGCAAGCCUGAUCCAGCCAUACCGCGUGGGUGAAGAAGGCCUUCGGGUUGUAAAGCCCUUUUGUUGGGAAAGAAAUCCAGCUGGCUAAUACCCGGUUGGGAUGACGGUACCCAAAGAAUAAGCACCGGCUAACUACGUGCCAGCCGCCGCAGUAA